AACGAACGCUGGCGGCGUGCUUAACACAUGCAAGUCGAACGCGAAAGGGACUUCGGUCCUGAGUAAAGUGGCGCACGGGUGAGUAACGCGUAGAUAACCUGUCUUCAUGUCUGGAAUAAUACGCCGAAAGGGGUACUAAUACCGGAUAUCCUUGCUUUUCAUAAGUUAUGCAAGCAAAGGUGGCCUCUGCAUAUGCUACUGCAUGAAGAGGGGUCUGCGUACCAUUAGCUAGUAGGUGGGGUAAUGGCCUACCUAGGCGACGAUGGUUAGCGGGUCUGAGAGGAUGAUCCGCCACACUGGCACUGGAACACGGGCCAGACUCCUACGGGAGGCAGCAGUGAGGAAUAUUGCGCAAUGGGGGAAACCCUGACGCAGCGACGCCGCGUGAGUGAGGAAAAGGCCUUCGGGUCGUAAAGCUCUGUCAAGAGGAAAGAAGUGUACAAUGGCUAAUACCUGUUGUAUUUGACGGUACCUCUAAAGGAAGCACCGGCUAACUCCGUGCCAGCAGCUGC
rnacentral:rRNA from 1 species